GCUCAGUGGAUUGAGUGCUGGCCUGCUAACCAAAGGGUCACUGGUUCAAUUCCCAGUCAGGACACAUGCCUGGGUUUUGGUGCCAGGUCCGCAGUUGGGGGUUUGCAGCCAAUAUUAUAUUGAUGUUUCUCUC